rnacentral:rRNA from 1 species
GACGAACGCUGGCGGCGUGCCUAAUACAUGCAAGUCGAGCGGACCGAAUGGAAGCUUGCUUCUGUUCGGUUAGCGGCGGACGGGUGAGUAACACGUGGGUAACCUGCCCGUAAGACCGGGAUAACUCCGGGAAACCGGGGCUAAUACCGGAUAACACCGAAGACCGCAUGGUCUUUGGUUGAAAGGUGGCUUUUGCUACCACUUACGGAUGGGCCCGCGGCGCAUUAGCUAGUUGGUGAGGUAACGGCUCACCAAGGCGACGAUGCGUAGCCGGCCUGGGAGGGGGGCCGGCCACACUGGGACUGAGACACGGCCCGGACUCCUACGGGAGGCAGCAGUAGGGAAUCUUCCGCAAUGGACGAAAGUCUGACGGAGCGACGCCGCGUGAGCGAAGAAGGUCUUCGGAUCGUAAAGCUCUGUUGUUAGGGAAGAAGAAGUACCGUUCGAAUAGGGCGGUACGGUGACGGUACCUAACGAGAAAGCCCCGGCUAACUACGUGCCAGCCGCCGCAGUAACAC